ensembl:lncRNA
CCCCCUACCAGACACUAACCCACUCCUCUAUAUAGGCAGCCCCCUCCCAGACACGAACCCACUCCUCUAUAUAGGCAGCCCUCUACCAGACACUCACCCACUCCUCUAUAUAGGCAGCCCCUACCAGACACUAACCCACUCCUCUAUAUAGGCAGCCCCCUACCAGACACUAACCCACUCCUCUAUAUAGGCAGCCCUCUACCAGACACUAACCCACUCCUCUAUAUAGGCAGCCCCCUACCAGACACUAACCCACUCCUCUAUAUAGGCAGCCCCCUCCCAGACACUAACCCACUCCUCUAUACAGGCAGCCCCCUCCCAGACACUAACCCACUCCUCUAUAUAGGCAGCCCCCUACCAGACACUAACCCACUCCUCUAUAUAGGCAGUCCCCUCCCAGACACUAACCCACUCCUCUAUAUAGGCAGCCCCCUCCCAGACACUAACC